UACGGAGGGUGCAAGCGUUGCUCGGAAUUAUUGGGUGUAAAGGGUUCGUAGGCGGUGUGGCAAGUCGGGAGUGAAAUCUCUGGGCUCAACCCAGAGUCUGCUUCCGAAACUGCUGUGCUUGAGUGUGGGAGAGGCGCGUGGAAUUGCAGGUGUAGCGGUGAAAUGCGUAGAUAUCUGCAGGAACACCCGUGGCGAAAGCGGCGCGCUGGACCACUACUGACGCUGAGGAACGAAAGCUAGGGGAGCAAACAGG
rnacentral:rRNA from 1 species